AUUGAACGCUGGCGGCAGGCCUAACACAUGCAAGUCGAACGAGUGGCGGACGGGUGAGUAAUGUCUGGGAAACUGCCCGAUGGAGGGGGAUAACUACUGGAAACGGUAGCUAAUACCGCAUACCAUCGGAUGUGCCCAGAUGGGAUUAGCUUGUAGGUGAGGUAACGGCUCACCUAGGUGACGAUCCCUAGCUGGUCUGAGAGGAUGACCAGCAAAACUGGAACUGAGACACGGUCCAGACUCCUACGGUAGGCUGCAGUGGGGAAUAUUGCACAAGGGGCGCAAGCCGGAUGCAGCCAUGCCGCGUGUAGGAAGAAGGCCUUCGGUUGUUACAGUACUUUCAGCGGGGAGGCGUUACCCGCAGAAGAAGCACCGGCUAACUCCGUGCCAGCAGCCGCGGUAAUUC
rnacentral:rRNA from 1 species